GCGCCCGUAGCUCAAUUGGAUAGAGCGUUUGACUACGGAUCAAGAGGUUAGGGGGGGUUCAACUCCUCUCGGGCGCA
rnacentral:tRNA from 1 species